rnacentral:rRNA from 1 species
CCGCUCCACCCUAAGUCCAACACUGAGUACGGUUGUAUGGACAUGGCCCAGAGAGGGUGAAAGGCCCGUGGGGGUGGAGUCCAGUUAAGAAGGCAUCGCUAAGAGUAGACCUUGGAGUCGGGUUGUUUGUGAAUGCAGCCCAAAGUGGGUGGUAAACUCCAUCCAAGGCUAAAUACUGGCGCGAGUCCGAUAGCAAACAAGUACCGUGAGGGAAAGUUGAAAAGUACUUUGAAGAGAGAGUAAACAGUGCGUGAAACCGUUCAGAGGUAAACGGGUGGAGUUGAACUGCAAGCUCUGAGGAUUCAGCUGGUGAGCGUGGUUUGAGCUUGGGUAUACUGGUCGGCCAUUCAGGUUCGCUUAGUUGCGGGUCCCUGUUAACCGCAGGGAUGCAUGAGUACUUGUCAAGUACUGCGCGCUUGGAUUGGUUCACCGGGCCAGUUCGCCAGUGCACUUUCUCAGAGUAGUCACCACGACCGGCGUUGCUGUUGGUCUGCUGGUGUUAAACCUGUCGGGUGGGGUCCUUGUGGCUUUAUUCGGUGGGGACGGCAGGUAGCUCGUUGGCUUGUCUUUCGAGUGUUAUCAGCUGACAUCAGUGGUACUGUGCAGUACGUCGGAGACGGCGGCUUGUGGUGUAUGCAUGCGUGCCUGUUCUGCUGGCGGCGCUGGGUUUGGUUGCCAUGUUGCCUGUAAAAGCAGGCCUGGUGAUAGCUCGGUGUUGAUUGGUAGGCGGUGGCGUGUGUAACAUCUUAAUGAGGGCCAAUAGUCUGUGGUGUAGUGGUAGACCAUCCACCCGACCCGUCUUGAAACACGGACCAAGGAGAGUAACAUGUGCGCAAGUCAUUGGGCGUUACGAAACCCAAAGGCGUAGUGAAAGUAAAUGUUCGGCUUGUCUGAACUGAGGUGAGAUCCUGACGUUUCUCACGCGUGGUAUCACCAAGCAUACGAGCGUCAGGCGCAUCACCGGCCCGUCCCAUGGUGUAGACACGCUCUUCGGAGUGGUGCAUCGCCGGGGUGGAGCAUGAGCGUACAUGUUGAGAC